CGCACAAAUUGUCUCCAGGAAAGGGCUCUGUGUACCUUUUGGGAAAUAUAGCUAUCUCUAUGGCCAACAGUUGUGUGGUUUAAAGAUCUAAAAAGAAUACUCAAAGCACCGUAGCCACUAUGACCCCCCAGCUUAGUUUUGAAGCAUGUUGUAUAAAUGAAUUAGUUAAAUUCCCACACUUCUUUUUUUAGGGAUUACUGAAUUAUUACAGCCAAUUUAUCUUCUCAGUUUUGUGAACUAUGACAUGCUGGACCACACUGCCAAAACAUGAAAAACUGUGUCACUAUUCAAGCACAUAUAGACUAUGCAAUAUUGAGUCAGAAUCACUAACCUGAUCUACUUGACACGAUUGAAAACGGAACCUUGGUGAGCUAGCCUGGGAUAGAGAGUUUAAGUCUAAACGGGUGCCUGCACCUUCUACUGCAUACCACACAUGCACCCUGGGAUUAAACCUUCUGGAGCCAUUAGGUUCACAGCUUGGCAUUGGUGAAGAACGCAGCCAUGGAUAGUUGGACUUCAGCCAGCUCACACUGCUAUAGUGCAGGCAACAAGGGG